AUAUAUAUAUAUAUAUAUAUAUUUUUUUUUUUUGGAUGUCGGGUUUCUGCUCACGGGCUUUCUCUAGUUGCAGCAAGCGGGGGCUACUCUUCAUUGUGGUGCACAGCCUUCUCACUGUGGUGGCUUCUCUUGUUGCAGAGUAUGGGCUCUAGGCGCAUGGGCUUCAGUAGUUGUGGCACGCGGGCUUCAGUAGUUGUGGCACACAGGCUUAGCUGCUUCGCGGUAUGUGGGAUCUUCCCAGACCAGGGCUCGAACCCAUGUCCCCUGCAUUGGCAGGCAGAUUCUUAAUCACUGCACCACCAGGGAAGUCUCCCGCCCCAGCUUCUUAUUUGAGAAGCUGGGGUUGAUUCUCUAGCAGGCCUUGAUCCCUACUAUCCUAUUGCUAAUUUUAAAAUACAUAAAUAGAUCUUGCUUUCAGCCUUCAUUAUGUGAGCAUACCAAGGGGGAGAAAUUAACUGAGAGCCUCUCCUGGUCUCCAGUGGAUGGAUGGAAAUUGAAACCCCUCUCCCCCGUUUUCCUUACCGCAUUAAAGAAGCACAUUGUGUUCUCUGAACCCGUCAGGGCUGCAGUGAGAAUGGCACCCUCUCCAGAGUCACCGUAACCCUGAAUCAAGUUGAUUCACAGGCCGUCUGGCUGUGAACCCCACAGUACUCUAUACUUAUGCUCAAAGAGUACUAAUUGCCUUGUUAACAGACCUCCUCUCAAGAGAAUGAAACUUAAGCAGAGGAAUAUCAGAGCAUGAUUUCCAGAGAAGUGAGCUGAUCCAGAAACUAAUAGCAUUUCCAGCAACCAAGUCGCCGAAGGCCCGCAGAGCAAAUAAAAGAGCAUUUUAAUGGUAUUGUCAAGAGGAUACGACUUGUCAAGGCAGAUUUGCAAACCGGAAAGGGGGCAGAGACUGCUCUUGUCUAGACAUCUGAUUAGCGAGAAACUGUAGGAUUAUGAGGAGUGUGGAUUUUUCUGGCUGCCGUGUCUGAGGCGGUCAGGCUUUCUGCACACAGGGCUGGAUGAGAGAAACCUUUGUCCCCAGUGGAAAACGCUGGCUGGUCUUCAUCCUCCCUUGGGCUCUAGCAGCCAGUUCGGGACCAAGAGACUGUACAGUAGGUCCCCUACCUACGAACCUUCAAGUUGUGAACUUUCAAAGAUGCGAACGUGUGUCCACAUGUCCAAUCACAUAAAUUAGUUCACGUGUCUGGUGUACCUGGUCACCUGCGUGCAUCCUCUACAAGUGGUUGUGCUUUUGUGUACUUUACAGUACUGUACAGAGUACUGUUAUUUGUGUGAAAAGUAUUAUAAACCUAUUGCAGUACAGUACUGUAUAGCUGAUUGUGUUAGUUGGGUACCCAGGCUAACUUUGCUGGACUUAGGAACAAAUUGGAUUCACGCACACACUCUCGGAUCGGAACUCGUUCAUAUGUAGGGGACUUACUUUGUUAGUUGAUUUUAACCUGCUGCCGCUCGGGGCACUGGGCACUUGCCUGGGAGGGUCUGGGGUUCGGAGACGAGAGAAUCACUGACGGGCACGUCACCUCUUCCUGCCCUUCCAUCGGCAGUCCCAGCUUGCUGUCUGAUCACGCUGCAGGCUGAUCCCCUGGACUUGGGGCCUCUGUUCUGCUUAAAUAACUGUCCAACCCCCUCACCCCAGGACACCAUGGAAACCACAGCACUUCCGGGUGGGAAUUAUGGGUUGUGGGCUCAGACAAAUAAUCCUCGCUUGGAUGGAAAUGAAGUCAGGUGAAUCGGGGGGUGAGUGUGUAAGGACCGCAGGGCCUUGGGUAAUGGUGGGACCCUGGAGGUGACAGGUGGGUUCCUAAAGGAAAGGGGCUGGGAAUCAGGAAACGUGAGGUUCUAGAACAGGUUCCUUACCUCCUCUAAAGGGAGGAAAUUAAUAUCAAUAUCACGAUUCCAGUCCCUGUGCCACCCGAGUGCUUUCUGCACAGCGCUGUGGGCCAUCCCUGCCCGCAGCCCAGGGCUGCCUGCUUGUUCAUGAAAAGUCACAGCCCAGCCCCGCAUCAGCAGCAGGGACUACAGCAAGUGCGAGAGACGGGGCUGAAAAUACAGUCGUUCCAUCAGUCUGAGUCCAGCUAGGCAAAGAAAAGCCACUGUGGAUUUCAAACAGGGAGUGCGUGCCGAGGAAUUUGUUACAGGGGUGAGACAGUCCUGAAUUGGCAACAAUAGGAAGCAGCUACCACCUGAAGGCUGGGGAGGUGUGGGGUGAAGGGAGAUGGGAGAACCAGAGCCGAGGUGGGAGCCCCCAGACAGGAGCGAAAACCAAAGCAGGCCUGCCUGGUGGGAGUUAGAAUCAUAGAGCAGCUACCACCCAGGCGGGGAGGGAAAGGGUAUAAAAGUAUCUUAGAGUUUCUCCCUGUGCCCUCGCCUCCGACCUUCUCCUGGCGUACGGUCUUCAGGGGUCUGGCAGGGAGAGUGGAACAAGGCAGCACAAGUUGGGGCAGAGGAAGGGGGUCAGAUAUUCUGUGAACCAGUCUCCUCACCUCCUGUGCUCUGCCCUCUGCAACCACCAGAGUGAAACGACAGAAUUAAAUAUUUGCGUAAUUAUUAGUUUAAUAUCUUUUUCACCUCCUCCACACCACCAGCACUGCAAACCCUGAGCUCCAUGAACGCAGGGACGGAGUCGGCCUUAUUCACUGCUGUAACACGGCACCCAGCAUGUGUGCCAAGCAACCAGUUCCACAGUAAUUCUCAGGACAACCCUGCAAGGUUUGUUCUGGCGGCCAUGUUGAGAGUAGACGAAGAGACCAAGAGUGGAAGCUGGGAGGCCAACCAGAGGCCACUGCAAUAAUCCAAGUGAGAGAAGAGAGCGGCUUGGACCAGGGCAGUAGCAGGGAGGGUGGUGAGAGUGGUCAGGUCCUGGAAAUAUUUUGAAAUUCGAACCAGUGGGAUUUUCUGAGAAUCUGAAUAUCAGGUUUGAGAGAGAGAAAGUCAAGGUUGGCUCCAAGGAUUUUGGCUUGAAAUCUUGAAAGAUGGUUGCCAUUAACUGACAUGCGGAAGCUGUGGGUGAGGCAUUUUCAUUUUCAUGUCCAAUGGGAGCUCCGUUUGGACAUGUUGGUGUGUAACGUCCACUGGACACUGGACAUCCAAGUGGAAGUGUUGAGUGACUUGGAUAUAAUUUUGGGAGUCAUGGGUGAAAAGAUGUCACUCAAGCUAUGAGAUCAUACAGGGAGUGGGUCGAGAUGCAAAAGAGAAGGGGUUCAGUAAUAUUUGUCAAACAAAGCACGCUGAGCAUGGGCCUCCCCACUGGACGUAGGGGUGUCUCCCUAAUGGCCUGGGCCAGAUCCACUUUUACAUUCCCCGAGCACUCACCUGUUGCAGGGAAUGUCACUGAUCUCCAGAAGCCCCCCCACCCUUGGUGUUUCAGAAUCAUAAAUACAGAGAUACUCAGAUUUAAACAAUCACAUCAAAAACCUACAUUUUCAAGAGAGAGAAAGUAGGGGGUGAUAAUAGGUUGUGUGAAUGAGUCCCCACAGACCUGCUAUCAGUCAAGCUUCACACACAGCCCUCUCGGGCAUUUCAAACAGGAUCCUGUCUGUAAAAAUAAGGCCCCAGCUUUUAUCAGUGCACCUGUUGUUCAAAGGGUCACCGGUCCCCAAGUGGAGAUAUGCAAAGGUCACCUGCUCACACCACCCCGUGGGAAUGUUACCUGCCAAGCUGCCCAUCCAGGCGCUCUGUGCCACGGAAGAGGAUGAGAGCAGAGCAGGGAGGGAGGAAGCAAAGCUUUCUCUGCUUCUGGGCCCUGUCCCCCAGCACCACUUGUGAGUCCAGCCUGUCACUGAAUUCUCUCUCUCUCCCAGUCCCAUGCAGAUAGAGGCAUGCCAUCACAGGAAGACACUAAAAGAGUUUGCCUUUUCAGAAAUUACUCUAGUUUGGAGGCCUUUUUUAAAGCACCUGUGCUGUUGUAGAAGGAACACUGGAGUGAGAGGCCCUCCAUCCUGGUUCUGCCAGGAACCAGCAGGCUGGCUUCGGGAGCAAGUUUUACCUACUUGUGCCUCAGUCUUCUCAUCUGUGAAAUGGGUAUCUGAGUGCCCCAUGAGGUCAUUCUGAGGGUUAAAGGAGUUCAAAUGGGUAAAGUACACAGAAGAACGUCUGUCACAAAUUAAGGUAUAUUUUAUUUCAUGUUGUGUUAGCAAUAAUAUAGCUCUUGGUUGCUGUUAUUAUUGUUGUUGUUGAAUUGACCCUGCCAAUUAGCUUUGUGAUCUUGGGCAAGUCGCCCCACUUCUCAAAGCCCUCAGGCUCCUGUCCUCGGAGGUGCUCUCACAGUAGUCCGUGAACAGCCCUCCCUUCCAGGCUCUGAGAGUGGGGAAAACUCCACAGCCGCACAUUUGAGAGGCCCGGUGACCGCUGAGGCCCUUACAGGAAGUGUGAUGGCACUGUCAGAAGGGGGGGUAUCCGCACAGGAGGUGAAGGGGCUGGGAGGUGGCAAGGCUGCCCUCGCUCCCCUUACUCUGUUUCCCUUUCCCACUGGAACACGGGUAUCUUCUCCAGUCCCCCCACUUCUCCUUUACACCCUGAGUCCCUGCAAGAGCUGUACAGAGUGCUCUGAACAGCCUAUCCUGGUGGUGUUCUUUGUCUACAAUUUCAAGAAAACAAUCACAUGUCAUCUGUUUAUUCCAGGAAACAGGUUCCGUAGUGACGAGAAGCCCCAAACUUCUGAGAAAGAGUCUCUGUUUACAACAUUUGUAGAGUCUUGCUUAUGUUUGCAUUUCCCCUACUAGUAAUAGUUUUGGCACUCCAUCUCCUGCUGCACGCAAGUGCACUACCUGAGCCCGGGUGCACCUUGCCAAGUUGGAAGGGAAUUGCUUAUAGGCAGCCCGUAGGAAUCGUUGGGUUCCUGAGGCUGUGCCAGCACGGGAAGAGGGAAGUAAAGGAAGAAAAAGUAAGAGAGCCUUGGGCUGGGAAUCAGGA